GGCUAAAACAGUCAGGAGGUUGGCUUAGAAGCAGCCAUCCUUUAAAGAAAGCGUAAUAGCUCACUGAUCGAGUCGUCCUGCGCGGAAGAUGUAACGGGGCUAAGCCAGUCACCGAAGCUGCGGAUGCACGUAAGUGCAUGGUAGGAGAGCGUUCUGUAAGCCUGUGAAGGUGUCUUGUAAAGGAUGCUGGAGGUAUCAGAAGUGCGAAUGCUGACAUGAGUAGCGAUAAAGGGGGUGAAAAGCCCCCUCGCCGUAAGCCCAA
rnacentral:rRNA from 1 species